rnacentral:misc_RNA from 1 species
UACGUAGGGGGCAAGCGUUGUCCGGAAUUAUUGGGCGUAAAGGGCACGCAGGCGGUUCGGAAAGUCUGAUGUGAAAGUGCAGGGCUUAACCCUGUGAUGCAUUGGAAACUGUCGGACUUGAGUGUAGGAGAGGGAAGUGGAAUUCCACGUGUAGCGGUGAAAUGCGUAGAGAUGUGGAGGAACACCAGUGGCGAAGGCGACUUCCUGGCCUACUACUGACGCUGAGGUGCGAAAGCGUGGGGAGCGAACAGG